rnacentral:rRNA from 1 species
UGCCUUAGUAGCGGCGAGUGAAGCGGCAAAAGCUCAAAUUUGAAAUCUGGCGCCUUCGGUGUCCGAGUUGUAAUUUGAAGAUUGUAACCUUGGGGUUGGCUCUUGUCUAUGUUUCUUGGAACAGGACGUCACAGAGGGUGAGAAUCCCGUGCGAUGAGAUGCCCAAUUCUAUGUAAGGUGCUUUCGAAGAGUCGAGUUGUUUGGGAAUGCAGCUCUAAGUGGGUGGUAAAUUCCAUCUAAAGCUAAAUAUUGGCGAGAGACCGAUAGCGAACAAGUACAGUGAUGGAAAGAUGAAAAGAACUUUGAAAAGAGAGUGAAAAAGUACGUGAAAUUGUUGAAAGGGAAGGGUUUGAGAUCAGACUCGAUAUUUUGUGAGCCUUGCCUUCGUGGCGGGGUGACCCGCAGCUUAUCGGGCCAGCAUCGGUUU